UCCAGCAGGGUUAGGUGCAAUACCACAGUAGAUGGGAGUCUUCAGAGAUUUCCUUCCUUAAGCUCUUGUGCUAGCUCCCUGCCUGGAUUCACACACAGCAGGAUAAUCUUAUAAUCAUAGCUGCUCCAUUUUCAUUCCACUGCUUUGAAAUCUUGAAACCAUGGAUGUCGAUACCCACAGAAAAGGGCAUGUUUGUGUUUGUUCCCAGGAAGAAAAUGAAGUUCAAUGAAUGGCUCCCUGAACAUUUGAUGCAGUGUGUGCAGCAGAGGAAUGCCAGCCCUAAUGACAUGAUUGCUGUGGAGGCCCUCCCAGAGGAGUUCAAGUGAAACUUGCUGAACCUGUGUUCUUGACCCUCUGAUGUCAUCAUUCUGUAGUUCUUGAAGGGAAGGAGAUUGUGAUGAUGAAUGGCUCCCACAAAAAAGGGUGUCAAGAAGAAGAAGGGCCGUUCUGCCAUUAACGAGGUGGUGACCCAAGACGAGAAUACACCAUCAGCAUUCACAAGUGUAUCCAUGGCGUGGGCUUCAAGAAGUGUGCUCCUCCGGCACGCAAAGAAAUCCAGAAAUUUGCCAUGAAGGAGAUGGGGACUCCAGAUGUGUGCAUUGAUACCAGGCUCAAUAAAGCCGUCUGAGCCAAAGGAAUAAGAAAUAUGUCAUACCGUAUCCGUGUAUGUUUGUCCAGAAAACGUAACACAGAUGAGGACUCACCAAACAAGCUGUACACAUUGGUAACCUGUGUGCCUGUUACCACAUUCAAAAAUCUACAGUCAAUGUGGAUGAGAACUAACCUGCUGAGUGUCAAAUAAAGUUGGAGAACUG
rnacentral:lncRNA from 1 species